AAUAAUACGACUCAUAAUUUCAUUUGUGUGCAAAAGAAAUUUAAUAGCAUUCAACAUACAAAGUUUCUGGAUGUUGCUAAUUUGGCUCCAAAGAGGCAAAAUUAUUGCAUAAAUAACAUAUCUAUUAUUAAAAAGAUCUGCUACAACUUACAAUUAGAGUAAGAGUGGGUAAACAAUUCUAAUCUUCCGAAUUGCAUCCAAUUCAUAUAGUAGAACUACUAAACAAGAAAUUCACACAUCAAGCCAACAACCGGUCAAGGGCGAAUUGAGAUUGAGUAAUAGAGGGGAAACGGUUUCAAAUUGAAAUUGAAUACUGAAAUUGGAAAACGAAUAGAGGAAAGAAGAGAGAAAGAGCUUACAUGGAGUGCUGAAGCACAAUAAAGCAACCUCU
rnacentral:lncRNA from 1 species